rnacentral:rRNA from 1 species
CAGCAGUGGGGAAUAUUGCACAAUGGGCGCAAGCCUGAUGCAGCCAUGCCGCGUGUGUGAAGAAGGCCUUCGGGUUGUAAAGCACUUUCAGUAGGGAGGAAGGUAGUGUAGUUAACACCUGCACUAUUUGACGUUACCUACAGAAGAAGCACCGGCUAACUCCGUGCCAGCAGCCGCGGUAAUACGGAGGGUGCGAGCGUUAAUCGGAAUUACUGGGCGUAAAGCGCAUGCAGGUGGUUUGUUAAGUCAGAUGUGAAAGCCCGGGGCUCAACCUCGGAACUGCAUUUGAAACUGGCAGACUAGAGUACUGUAGAGGGGGUAGAAUUUCAGGUGUAGCGGUGAAAUGCGUAGAGAUCUGAAGGAAUACCAGUGGCGAAGGCGGCCCCCUGGACAAAGACUGACGCUCAGAUGCGAAAGCGUGGGGAGCAAACAGGAUUAGAUACCCUGGUAG